GUCCCCGUAGCUCAGCGGAUAGAGCGUUGGCCUCCGAAGCCAAAUGCGAGGGUUCGAUUCCCCCCGGGGACG
rnacentral:tRNA from 1 species